GCCCCGGCUAACUACGUGCCAGCAGCCGCGGUAAUACGUAGGGGGCGAGCGUUGUCCGGAAUUAUUGGGCGUAAAGGGUACGUAGGCGGACUUGAAAGUUUGACGUGAAAGCCCGGGGCUUAACUCCGGCAAGCGUUGAAAACUGGAGGGCUUGAGUGAUGGAAGGGACAGUGGAAUUCCUGGUGUAGUGGUGAAAUGCGCAGAGAUCAGGAAGAAUACCAGUGGCGAAGGCGACUGUCUGGACAUUAACUGACGCUGAGGUACGAAAGCGUGGGGAGCAAACAGGAUCAGAUACCCUGGUAGUCCACGCUGUAAACGAUGAGUGCAAGGUGUUGGGGGUCAAACCUCGGUGCCGCCGUUAACACAGUAAGCACUCCGCCUGGGGAGUACGUACGCA
rnacentral:rRNA from 1 species